AAGUCGUAACAAGGUUUCCGUAGGUGAACCUGCGGAAGGAUCAUUACCCUUCUCUCAGGGGGCCGGACCCAGCAUUCAAGGCGUCUGCCCUGCUUGUUGACCCGCCCUGUCUGAAUAAACCCAUGUUUUUUACGCACCAUUUGUUUCCUCGGUGGGCUUGCCUGCCGAUAGGACAACCCAAUCAACCUUUUGUAAUUGCAGUCAGCGUCAGUACAACAUAAUAAUUACAACUUUCAACAACGGAUCUCUUGGUUCUG
rnacentral:misc_RNA from 1 species